AAACAUGCCCAAGAGCCCAUUAAAGUAGUAAACGGAUGUCAUGAUUGUUCCUUAAAUAUUUGGGACUUGCGCAGCAUUACUUAUAUAAAAACAAAAUUUUCUGGAUCAAAAUGCAAUGAUAUUGUCACAACAUACAGUUUUGGUUCAACGAUUCUUAGUGGAUAUUACGAUAAGACAACCCGUGAUAUGCGUACUGCAAAACAGGUAGAUGACGUCAUAUUAGCGGGAAAAAUCGCGUCCCUUGAUUUAUUAAAGGGUGAGUAGUCAAAAAAAGCAAAACACCGGUCGUAGUUGGCGGACACUUUAAAAUCAGCUGUGAUUCUGCUCGGCAUUCCUUUGACACGAGUGGCUUACAAAUUUCCUUUAGAUCAAUUUGUGCAGUAUAAAUUUGGAAUGUUAACGGCUUUUUCGAAACUACUGAAAAAGGACACAAAUUUUUUAAUUCUGUUCGUACAUACUUACAUGUAUCUUUUAAUGAUUCCAAGUUUUGUCAAAAUUAAAUAUUUAAACAUUUUCCUGCCUCAUACAUACAUAUGUGUGUAUAUACAUAUCUUUGGUUUGAGCUUAACCAUAACAAAAAUAGUUUUGGAAUCGGUUUAUUGCACAGCACAGCGGUAAAAGCGGUCAGCUAAAGCUCCAACAACAAUUUGCUGGGCUCGGUAGGAAAGAGCAAAAGGUGCAUCAUAUAUUCGGAUUCUUAGCCGUUUACAUUGCCAUAGAUGCCAAUAAGCUGUUUAAUAAUGAAAUUUUGAUAGUCACAGCUGUUGUACAUAAAUAACAGCCACUCGAAGUCUGCUAUGAAUAGUACAUUUGGUAGGCUGUUGGUAAAGAUAAUUGCUAUCUACAAUAGUAUGAAGAGCUUCGGCCUCUGAAGCUAGCUUUAAUUUCUUAUUUUACCAGCAUUCUCAUAUGUGCCAACCUUUCUGACAAUAUUUGAUGUUGCUGAGUCAGAAAUGAAACUUGGCAGCUAAUACGUUUUCCUUUUCUUCAUUAAAAGUGAAAAUAGGCGAUCAAAAUUCCUUUAUGCUUCACCGUCGGCUAUAAAUUUGUUCAGCACUUUGCUACGCUCAGCCUAGGAAGCCUCGUUAUGGCCUAAAACUGUUCUUAUAAUCUCUCCCAUUACGUUUAUUCCUAUUGUGUGCUGUUGCUACGUAAACCUGAAUUAAAAAAUCGUCGUACAUCAGCCUGUGCUUCCUCCCCAGACAUAAACUUUGAUGUUCAUAGUACAUUGACAAACUGAGCUGCGAUUUCAGACAAUUAAGCGUGACCACCGAAUCAAUCGAACGCGAUGUAUAAUAUCAGCUACAUACUCGUAUAUAAUCAAUUCUUGACACGAAUGCUGUGGCUGUGGAGAACAGAGCCAAUUAUUUGGUUUGCUGACGUCGCGCAAUCGACACUAUGAAUCUCUAAUUGGGGAAAAAAUAACAGCAGCAACGUCAUUUCAAAUCUAGUGUAAAUUUAUUUUUAUCGCCUUGCAUGCAUGCUUUAAUUAAAGGCUCUUCAGAUUGUACUGGAAAACAACUACAA